rnacentral:rRNA from 1 species
UGAGCAAUCUGCCCUUCUCAUCGGAAUAAGCGUUGGAAACGACGUCUAAUGCCGAAUACGACCUCCUUUCGCGUGAUCGGAGGUGGAAAGCUCCGGCGGAGAAGGAUGAGCUCGCGGCCUAUCAGCUAGUUGGUGUGGGUAAUGGCCCACCAAGGCGACGACGGGUAGCCGGCCUGAGAGGGUGACCGGCCACACUGGGACUGAGACACGGCCCAGACCUCCGUACGGGAGGNAGCG